CUCCUGCGCUGACAUGCAGCCACAGGCCCCCACCGGCCGAGGCCGCCCCGCCCAGGGCCAUGGCCCAGGUGCCGCAUGCCGGCCCGGAUCGGGGCAAAGGGCUUCCUGGGCAAGAACAGGCCUGUCCCUGCCCGCCUGGCAGCGCGGCACAGGGCCCGGGGCGGCCCUCAAGGUGUCUGAGGACACGGGUGCCAGGGCCCCCAGGUGUGGCAGUGAAGGCCCAGAGAGGCUGAGAGAGUGGUUGGAGGUCACACAGCAAGGACACAGCGGAGGUGAGAGGAAGCCAGGGCCCGGGCCGCCUGCUGUUGAGGUGAGGGAGAGGCCGGGGACCCCAGCUCAGGCCCCUGAGGACGGGGCACCUGCCGCCUGCCACGUGCUCAGAGCUGGGUCUCGGCCAGCGUGAGGCACGUGCCUGCUCCUGUCAGAGAGGGUCUCUGGGCCCACGGAGGGGCCGGGCUGGGCAGUCUCCCGCCUCGUGUCUACACUGGCACACCAGCACCCUGCUCUGAGCCUGUCCCCAUGGAUGAAGGGAGGUGACACUCCCUGCCGCCCAGCGGGGCCUGAGGGCCCAGGGAGAGGGACCCUGUGAGGCUGUGCCCGUGUGCACGGGGCCGUUGGCGUCAACUGGAUUCCAGGGGAAAACCAAAUGGGGCCUGAACUGAAGCCGGGCGCGGCUGCCAGGACUCCCCGGGGGACGGCCAGAGACUGACGGCAGCAGCUUGUGGGCCAAGGACACCGCCCUGUGGACACUUUCACUGGCCCAGAGACCAGCGGUGCACUCUGACCCCAGGAUCCGCGGCUUGGAGUCCUUCAAGUCCCAGCUCCGACCCUCCUCCUCCUCCAGGGAGUCCUCCCGGGUUGUCUAUGCCGUGUGGCCCCCCGCCCCCCUGCUCCUCGGGGUGUAACAGCCCCACCUGCCCAGCUGGACGUCGUGAUCCCCGAGGACAAGACCCCACCUCUGACCUCCUGCUGUUGCUCAUGGCCACGGUGACUAUCCCUGUCAGAAUUUCCUAGCCAGUCCUGUGGUCCUUAUAACCCAUCAGAAUGUUCUAGAAAGGGCGAUGCUUUGGCUUCCCAAGGCCAGACACCCAAUGCCCUGUCCUUGGAUUUGCAAAAUAAGCCCUUUUGCCCACCACGCUUGGCAGGGGUGAGGUCCCCAGGAGGUCACGUCCUGGGCUCUGCCAGGCAGGAGGGCUGGCGGGAAACGUCUGCCCCCAAGACCUUGCUCAGGGGCUUAAUCUCAGCGACCUGGGCCAAGGAGCGGAGCUGGAGGGGGCCACAGAGAUCUGCUUCCUGCCCCUCCCGGGCCAUUGCCGCUGGGCCCUGGCUGGGCCUCGGGGUCGGGCGGCAACAGGAGCACACGCCCAGCGGAGGGGACUCCAGGCCCAGGGGAGGGGACUCCAGGGACCCCGGCCUGCCUGGCGUCUGGCAGGGAGCAGGGCCUGGGCCCAGCCCGCCAUGGAGCAGGGGGCGGCAGGAAACCGCCCCCCAGGAACGGGGCGGGACCCCGGCUGAGCCCCAAGAACCCAGAAAUCCUGCCGGGGCUCACCUCGGGCGCGGGAAGGAAACUGGUAUCGGAAAGCACCUACUAUGUGCCAGGAGCACCUGCCGGAAUCUUCCCCGGAGCAGGGUGGGGAGAGGAAAGGCGAGAAGGGCGUGAUGUUCUCCCUCCCACGCGCGCCCACCCUCCCCGUGUCUGGCAGCUUGAGGCUGGGUGAGGCACUGAAGGCACAGAGAGGCCCGGUAACUUGCCCCAGAUCACACAGCCAGGAGAGGCUUCGACGGGCGUCUGUUCCCCCGGGGCCCUGCGGAGCCAGCAGCCCAGGCCCGCGUCCGUCCCGAGGCAGGGGCUCAUUUCUGGGCAAGGAGGGCGGUGAGGGGUGGAGGAGGGACGGGGUCAGAACCACCAGGGAGGCUGCGGGCUGCAGCGCCCGAGAU